rnacentral:lncRNA from 1 species
AGAAAAGCCACACAGACAAGUCACUAAUGGUCUAGGUGUCGUCAGAGAAGAAUAAAUGAGCCUGCGGAGUUCAGAAGGAAGAUGAUCACUUCCUUCUGGGCAUAUGGGAAGCUCUGCAGACAAGGAGCUGUGAACAUGGUCUUCAGGGACACAAGAAAAAUUUGCAUCUGCGAUGGUGAAUAUUAGGUGGCAACUUGAUUGGACUAAGAGAUGCCUGGAUGACUGGUGAAGGACUGUUUCUGGCUGAGACAACAAUCACAGCCUGCAGUUCUCACUCCCUCAUCCUCAAAGGAAUGAAGACGUGGCAAUCCCACGCCCCUGCCAGCCCCUCCCACCCCACGAGGCUCUCCCUGAAGUUAUUCAUCCGUCCACCUGCAAAUCCGGGAGGAUCCCGGUGUUGGAAGGACCUAGCCAAGCCGUGGCUCUUGGCAAACAGAUCUGUUUCUUUCUAGUUGUCCUGGAAGACCAGGAGUCAAUGAAAACAGGAGCUGAAAGCACCACUAUCAUGUGACAUGAACAAGUCAUCAGCUCCUCAGUGAUCUGGAAAAUGGCUGGUGGCACUUGGGGGACAGGUUGCAGCAGAGGUAGGCACGAGAGGAGCGACUCACGC